rnacentral:rRNA from 1 species
CCUACGGGGGGCUGCAGUAGGGAAUAUUGCACAAUGGGCGCAAGCCUGAUGCAGCCAUGCCGCGUGUGUGAAGAAGGCCUUCGGGUUGUAAAGCACUUUCAGCGGGGAGGAAGGCGUUAAGGUUAAUAACCUUGUCGAUUGACGUUACCCGCAGAAGAAGCACCGGCUAACUCCGUGCCAGCAGCCGCGGUAAUACGGAGGGUGCAAGCGUUAAUCGGAAUUACUGGGCGUAAAGCGCACGCAGGCGGUCUGUCAAGUCGGAUGUGAAAUCCCCGGGCUCAACCUGGGAACGGCAUUCGAAACUUGCAGGCUAGAGUCUUGUAGAGGGGGGUAGAAUUCCAGGUGUAGCGGUGAAAUGCGUAGAGAUCUGGAGGAAUACCGGUGGCGAAGGCGGCCCCCUGGACAAAGACUGACGCUCAGGUGCGAAAGCGUGGGGAGCAAACAGGAUUAGAUACCCGGGUAGUC